rnacentral:rRNA from 1 species
GACGAACGCUGGCGGCGUGCUUAACACAUGCAAGUCGAACGGAAAGGCCCCCAUCUUGGUGGGGGUGCUCGAGUGGCGAACGGGUGAGUAACACGUGGGUGAUCUGCCCUGUACUUCGGGAUAAGCUUGGGAAACUGGGUCUAAUACCGGAUAGGACCAUGGUUUAGUGUCUCAUGGUGGAAAGAUUAUUGUUUUGGUGCAGGAUGAGCUCGCGGCCUAUCAGCUUGUUGGUGGGGUAAUGGCCUACCAAGGCGUCGACGGGUAGCCGGCCUGAGAGGGUGGAAGGCCACAUUGGGACUGAGAUACGGCCCAGACUCCUACGGGAGGCAGCAGUGGGGAAUAUUGCACAAUGGGCGCAAGCCUGAUGCAGCGACGCCGCGUGGGGGAUGACGGCCUUCGGGUUGUAAACUCCUUUCGUUAGGGACGAAGCCGCACUUUUUUUGGGUGUGGUGACGGUACCUUUGUUAAGAAGCACCGGCUAACUACGUG